UACGGGGGGGCAAGCGUUGUUCGGAAUUACUGGGCGUAAAGGGCUCGUAGGCGGCCAACUAAGUCAGACGUGAAAUCCCUCGGCUUAACCGGGGAACUGCGUCUGAUACUGGAUGGCUUGAGUUUGGGAGAGGGAUGCGGAAUUCCAGGUGUAGCGGUGAAAUGCGUAGAUAUCUGGAGGAAUACCGGUGGCGAAGGCGGCGUUCUGGACUGCAACUGACACUGAUGAACGAAAGCCAGGGAGCAAACGGG
rnacentral:rRNA from 1 species